rnacentral:tRNA from 1 species
UCCCUGGUGGUCUAGUGGUUGAGGAUUCAGCAUUGUCACUGCUGUGGCUUGGGUUUGAUUGCUGGCCUGGGAA